CAAAGCCCUGUCAGGAGUUAUGAAAUGUAAGUGCGCUAAUACCGUGCUUAUUUGACAAAGGCUCCAAAGGAAGCCACGGCUAACUCUGUGCCAGCAGCCGCGGUAAUACAGAGGUGGCGAGCGUUGUUCGGAAUUAUUGGGCGUAAAGAGCACGUAGGUGGGUUUGCAAGUCAGAUGUGAAAGCCUUCUGUUCAACGGAAGAAUUGCAUCUGAGACUGCUAAUCUUGAGUAUAGGAGGGGAGAAUGGAACUUCUGGUGGAGCGGUGAAAUGCGUAGAUAUCAGAAGGAACGCCGGCGGCGAAAGCGAUUCUCUGGCCUAUUACUGACACUCAGUGUGCGAAAGCUAGGGGAGCAAACGGGAUUAGAUACCCCGGUAGUCCUAGCUGUAAACGAUGGGCACUAAGUAGAGGGGAUUACCUAUAUACUCUCUGCCGUAGCUAACGCAUUAAGUGCCCCGCCUGGGGAGUACGGCCGCAAGGCUAAAACUCAAAAGAAUUGACGGGGGCUCGCACAAGCGGUGGAGCAUGUGGCUUAAUUCGAUGCAACGCGAAAAACCUUACCGGGGCUUGACAUGAUAGAAGUAGGAACCUGAAAGGGGGACGAACGGUAUCCAGUCCGUAGCUAUUACAGGUGUUGCAUGGCUGUCGUCAGCUCGUGUCGUGAGACGUUGGGNUAAGUCCCCUAACGAGCGAAACCCUUGUUUUUA
rnacentral:rRNA from 1 species